rnacentral:tRNA from 1 species
UCGUGCCGUGGGCGACGAGGUCGACGCCCGCGAGCUCGGACCACGAGCCGAGGAGUUCGUUCAGUCCGGGCUGCUCGAGCCA